UACGGAGGGUGCGAGCGUUGUCCGGAAUCACUGGGCGUAAAGGGCGCGUAGGCGGCCUGAUAAGUCGGGGGUGAAAUCCUGCGGCUUAACCGCAGGGCUGCCUUCUAAACUGUCAGGCUAGAGCACAGUAGAGGCAGGUGGAAUUCCCGGUGUAGCGGUGGAAUGCGUAGAGAUCGGGAAGAACAUCAGUGGCGAAAGCGGCUCACUGGACCACAACUGACGCUGAGGCGCGAAAGCUAGGGGAGCAAACAGG
rnacentral:rRNA from 1 species